AGCUUUGCGCAGUAGCAGUAUUGUAGCCAAUGAGAUUAAUCAGAGGCGUGAUUAUUGCUAAUUGAAAAAUAUUUUCUUCCAUGCCUAUGGACAAUUUAAAAUAUAUAUUUAUA
ensembl:snRNA U4 U4 spliceosomal RNA